UACGUAGGGGGGCAAGCGUUGUCCGGAUUUAUUGGGCGUAAAGAGCGUGUAGGCGGCCAGAUAGGUCCGUUGUGAAAACUGGAGGCUUAACCUCCAGCUGUCGAUGGAAACCAUCUGGCUAGAGUCCGGAAGAGGAGAGUGGAAUUCCUGGUGUAGCGGUGAAAUGCGCAGAUAUCAGGAAGAACACCCGUGGCGAAGGCGGCUCUCUGGGACGGUACUGACGCUGAGACGCGAAAGCGUGGGGAGCAAACAGG
rnacentral:rRNA from 1 species